AGACUGACUAUUUGGAUGGAAGUUUUAGCACAAGCACAAAUGCCAUUCACAUUCGUAUGUAUGCAACAAGGAAAGCUAAUUUACAGGCAUCCCAUUGAAUUGUGGGAAAUCCUAGGAAAUUUUUAAGAAGCAAGGAAUUAUAAGUUACCGCCAGGGAGGCCCUGUCAUCGCGGUGCAAGUGGAGAAUGAAUAUGGCUCAUUCAAUAAGGAUAAAACAUACAUGCCGUAUCUCCACAAGGCCCUGCUGAGAAGAGGGAUUGUGGAGCUUCUCUUGACCUCUGAUGGUGAGAAACAUGUGCUGAGCGGCCACACCAAAGGAGGUACACAUUUAGAGUUAGUUCACAGGAGAACAGGGCUCUCAGCCAGCCCGUGUAUAUCUUGAACACACUGCAGAGGUAUGCAUCUCCAUACCUCCCUUUCCCGUGUCCACUGGGAUGGAUCCUGGAGUUGGAUGUUACAAUAAAUGAGGACUCAAGGUCAAGGCUCAGGGCCACUCACCAGCUCCCUCUCUUGGCCUUGCUCCUGCCAUCUUUAAACACAGCAGCACUGGAACUCCUCUGUUCUCAGGACGCCUUUCCGUCUCCCAUAGUUUUUCUGUGGCAAGAAAUCUGCAUUGGUGCUGGGCCUGGCGUGGGAUCAGGGUCGUCUCCACUAACUCGGGAAACCACAGGGAGAACCAGAAGAUGGGUGUUGUGUCAGGAACCCCGCCUAGAUCCGGUUCCAUUCCUGGGAUCCUACCGCCCAAGUCUCCGUGUGGACACUUAGGAGAUCCUAGAGAAUUAAGUGGCAGGAAGAUUCUGGACGGACUCAUCAGAUGGCAAUAGUGAGGGACACUCCCGGGUGUGAGCAGGCCAGCGGGGCGAGCCACUGCUGGCGGCUGCCGUUCUGCCUCCUUAGUAGUGGCUCUUCCAAGGAAGCCUGGCACACUGGAACACGUGCUGAGCUUGGGGCCAGGAAGCCUGCGUCCCGUUUCCAGUCUAAUCAUGUCAGGGAGCCUUGGCCUGGCUCACUUCUCUGCACAGAGUGUGGUUAAUUUUAACAAUGAGAGUCCUCGCAAGUGUCAGGGAUGUGGCGAUGGCCAUGGCAGCCCUUUGGAUGUGGCAGAGUGGGAUCCAGACAGCAUCUCGCCAUCCUCACUGCUGAGCAUGUGUUCCUCCGUUCCUCCUGCCUGCGACCGGGCCGGGGGCGGAUUCCUUCCCUUCCCUGACAGCACUUGUCUCAUGCCUCAGCUGGGCCUCUCUCUUCUUUAUGCAGUGCUGGCCGCCAUCAAUUUGCAAAAACUUCACCAGAAUGCUUUCAGUCAGCUUCAUAAAGUCCAGCCAGUCAGGUCGCGUCAGCCCGUCAACAUGGAGAACCUGCCCAUCAACCAUGGGAGCGGCCAGUCCUACGGGCUUGUCCUGUAUGAGAAGUCCAUCUGCUCCGGAGGCCGCCUCCGUGCCCAAGCUCACGACAUGGCACAGGUGUUUUUGGAUGAGACAAUGAUAGGGAUUCUGAAUGACAAUAAUGAGGACCUGCACAUUCCUGAACUCAGGGAAUCACUGGAUCUGUCAGCAUCAAUGACUCUUCCCUGGAGGGCUUUACCAUCUAUUCCCUGGAGAUGAAAAUGAGCUUCUUUGAGAGGCUCCGCUCUGCCACCUGGAAGCCAGUCCCAGACAGCCACCAGGGCCCAGCCUUCUACCGUGGGACCUUGAAGGCUGGCCCUUCUCCCAAGGACACCUUCCUGAGCCUGCUGAACUGGAAUUAUGGAUUCGUGUUCAUCAAUGGACGUAACCUUGGGCGAUAUUGGAAUAUUGGGCCUCAGAAAACACUGUACCUUCCUGGAGCUUGGCUUCAUCCAGAAGACAAUGAGGUCAUCUUGUUUGAGAAGAUGAUGAGUGGCUCAGACAUCAAAUCUACAGACAAGCCCAUGCUGUAAAACCGUAUCUGAACUUUUUGUUUUUUGUUUUUUGAGACAAAGUCUCACUCUGUUGCCCAGGCUGGAGUGCAGUGGCCAGAUCUCGGCUCACUGCAAGCUCUGCCUCCUGGAUUCAUGCUAUUCUCCUGCCUCAGCCUCCCUGGCAGCUGGGACUACAGGCGCCCGCCACCACGCCCGGCUAUUUUUUUGUAUUUUUAGUAGAGACAGGGUUUCACCUGUUAGCCAGGAUGUUCUUGAUCUCCUGACCUUGUGAUCCACCCCCCUCGGCCUCCCAAAGUGCUGGGAUUACAGGCGUGAGCCACCACGCCCGGCCGUGAACAUAUUUUUUGGGUUGCUGGAGUUCAUCUAUAAGUCAUUUUUGAGGAAUAAGAUUUAUGUUAAGACUAUCAAACACAGUGUUGCCUACAAUAGCAAAAAUGUGAAAACAACAACAACAACAACAAUAAAAAACCAGCAGAGGAAUUGUUAUGUAUUUUGUAGUCUAUCUAUAUGAUGCCUAUUUUUAGGCUUUAAAAAGUCUUCAAAAUCUUUAAUGACUGAUUUAUCUAGUUAAAUGCUUAAUCCUUAGCAGGCUCUUAUUCUUUAAUUAAAUGUGCCUUUAAGUAGAUGUGAAUAAAAUAAAAACAAGUUUCA
rnacentral:sRNA from 1 species